rnacentral:snRNA from 1 species
AGAUCAAUUGAGCCUGGGAGUUCAAGGCUACAGUGAGCUGUGAUUGUGGCACUGCACUCCAUUCUAGGCAACAGAG